rnacentral:rRNA from 1 species
UACGUAGGGGGCAAGCGUUGUCCGGAUUUAUUGGGCGUAAAGCGCGUGUAGGCGGCUAGAUAGGUCCGCUGUGAAAACUUGAGGCUCAACCUCAAGAGGUCGGUGGAAACCAUCUAGCUAGAGUCCGGAAGAGGAGAGUGGAAUUCCUGGUGUAGCGGUGAAAUGCGCAGAUAUCAGGAAGAACACCCGUGGCGAAGGCGGCUCCCUGGGACGGUACUGACGCUGAGACGCGAAAGCGUGGGGAGCGAACAGG